GACGAACGCUGGCGGCGUGCCUAAUACAUGCAAGUAGGACGCAGUUGCGAACGGGUGAGUACCGCGUAGGUAACUACCUAUUAGAGGGGGCUAACUAUUGGAAACGAUAGCUAAUACCGCCUACUAGUCGAUGGACCUGCGUUGUAUUAGCUAGUAGUUAGGGUAAUGGCCUACCUCGGCAACGAUACAUAGCCGACCUGGGAGGGUGAUAAGCCGAGAUGGGACUGCGUCAAGGCCCAGACUCCUACGGGAGGCAGCAGUAGGGAAUCUUCGGCAAUGGGGGGAACCCUGACCAGGCAGCGCAGGGGAGUAGGAGAAGGUUUUCUGAUCGUAAUGCACUGGUGUUAAGGAAGCGGGACUUAGCCAGGAAGGGACGGCUAACUACGUGCCAGCAGCCGCGGUGAUUC
rnacentral:rRNA from 1 species